rnacentral:miRNA from 1 species
UCCACCCACCUUGGCCUCCCAGAGUGCUAGAAUUAAAGGCAUGAGCCACCACUCCUGGCAAACUUUUGUCUAUUUUGAGGCUAGUACUCUAU